AUUUCUGUAAUGUCUUCCUUCCUUGUUACAUCAUAAACCCCACAAUAGUAGAGUUCAACUGUUUUUACUUACCACUGUAUUCCUUCCCCUUAGUAGAUAUGCAAUAAAAAAUUGAUGGAUGAGUAUAAAUAUAUACUUAAAUUAAAAAUAAAUUAUAGAAGAGUGUGAGCUGAUUGUAUUCUUUUUAAAAUAAAUGCAUAUGCGUAUGUGCCGGUAUCCAUCACUACCUGCAACUUUAUCAUCCAAUAUAAGAAAUAGAAUGUAUUCAAAUGUUAGGGGAUAUUUGCGUGUAUUUUUGUGUAAAAUAUAAAAAAAGUCUUGGGAUACCUAAAAAGUCAAACAUUUGUAAAUGUCCUCUCUAAAUAAUUAAACUUUAGUGAGAAUCUUUAUCAAUCUUUAGACAAAUCUCUGAUUAUUUCCUUUAGGUAAAUUUUGAGAAGCAAAAUUACUAAAUCUAAGUGUGUCUGCCUAUAUAUGUUCAUGCAUAUUGCCAUUACUUAUCUAAUGAUAAGGAGCCCAGUGACUGGGCUAGCCCUAGGAAUCAAUAGGAAUAAAAAUAAAAAUAAAUAUAGAAAACAUAUAAAAUAAAAAAUAAACAUAUUUUGUUCUAUUUUGAUUAUUAUAUUGGGUAAUUCCUUAAAAGUCACUCCACAUCUAAGGAUCUGAUAAAUAUUAAAUAUAUUUCUCUUCAUUUAUUUGAGGCGAAUUUUAAACAUUUCACUCUUUAAGCCAUCAGAAGUUUUAUUUGCUUGAGGUUACUUUUUUCCCACUAA
rnacentral:lncRNA from 10 species